UACGAAGGGGGCUAGCGUUGUUCGGAAUUACUGGGCGUAAAGCGCACGUAGGCGGAUUGACAAGUCAGGGGGUGAAAUCCCAGAGCUCAACUCUGGAACUGCCUUUGAUACUGUCGAUCUGGAGUAUGGAAGAGGUGAGUGGAAUUCCGAGUGUAGAGGUGAAAUUCGUAGAUAUUCGCAAGAACACCAGUGGCGAAGGCGGCUCACUGGCCCGGUACUGACGCUGAGGUGCGAAAGCGUGGGGAGCAAACAGG
rnacentral:rRNA from 1 species